rnacentral:rRNA from 1 species
CAUUAAAGAGUUCUAUAACUCCCAAACCCAUGUGAACAUACCUAACGUUGCCUCGGCAGGUCGCACCUACCUUGUAGCACCCUACCCUGUAGGGCCUACCCGGGAGGUGCGGGUAAGCCUGCCGGCGGCCCACCAAACUCUGUUUGAUAUUGAAUUCUGAACCUAUAACUAAAUAAGUUAAAACUUUCAACAACGGAUCUCUUGGUUCUGGCAUCGAUGAAGAACGCAGCGAAAUGCGAUAAGUAAUGUGAAUUGCAGAAUUCAGUGAAUCAUCGAAUCUUUGAACGCAUAUUGCGCCCAUUAGUAUUCUAGUGGGCAGGACCGUUCGAGCGUCAUUUCAACCCUUAAGCCUUCGUUGCUUAGUGUUGGGAGCCUACGGCAACGUAGCUCCUCAAAGUUAGUGGCGGAGUUGGUUCACACUCUAGACGUAGUAAUUUUUUAUCUCGCCUAUUAGUUGGACUAAUCCCCUGCCGUAAAACCCCCAAUUUAUCAAGGUUGACCUCGAAUCGGUUCAGACAAACUCGCUAAAUUGAAGCAUCUUAGUCAGCGAAGGAAAAGAAACCAACAGGGAUUGCCCUAGUAACGGCGAGUGAAGCGGCAACAGCUCAAAUUUGAAAUCUGGCCCUCGGGUCCGAGUUGUAAUUUGUAGAGGAUGCUUUUGGCGCGGUGCCUUCCGAGUUCCCUGGAACGGGACGCCUUAGAGGGUGAGAGCCCCGUACGGUUGGACACCAAGCCUCUGUAAAGCUCCUUCGACGAGUCGAGUAGC